UAUUAAAAUUUUUAUCAAUUUCUACUAUUAAAAACUGGUAUAGAUGAUGAAAUAACUAAACAGUUGCAUGUAAGUGCACGAUGCUGACAUAUAGAGACCAGUUUUUAACCGUAAAAAUUGAUGAAAUGUUUAACA
rfam:Gossypium hirsutum cultivar TM-1 chromosome 9, whole genome shotgun sequence